GGGCCACAGGGCCCCAUUUCUGCAAUUUAGCUACAGAUGUUCUUUGUUUGUACCAACCAAGACAAAGGGACAACUCUUCUCUUAUGAAAGCUUCACAGGGAGACAGCCUCCAUAACCCCCCAGAGGAGAUCCUUUCAAUGCUUUAUCACUCAAAUCUUGCAAAGACCUUCUUUUGUCCAAUGGCAAGCGCUCUGGAUAUGACUUAAACAUGCUUCCUUUUGUUUCUCUAUAGACAUGGAGUAUAAUCAUUUAUUUAUUUGAUUAUUUAUAGUGUUUACAGAAGAAAUCUCAGUGGACUAAAGAGCUAUGCUCAAGUCACUCUCUUCUGUAGGUAAACACCUCCAGUUCCUUUAACCUUUUCUUGCAGUAACUUUCUCAUCCCUUUAAUCACGUUGGCUGUUCGUCUCUUGCCAAAAGAAGAGAGAGCAGAUUAAUUCAUGCUGGGGCAUGAGGAAUCUCUGUUGAUAUGUGCGCUGUGCAUGUGACACCCAGCAGUCUGACUUCACGGACAGCGUAUAUUCCUGGAACAUGCAAAGUAUGGCAGGAGAGAAUGUCAAAGCAUCCGACAGCCAAAAGGUGGCGCUCCUCACCCACCAUUCAUUUCCUUCCAAGCUUUGCCUGGCCCCUCAACACUAUUGCGGGCACCUCCUGUCGGGGCAUGGCAUGAAUCGGGUGCAGCAUGACGGCAAAAUGGCAUUGGAUUCGAGAAGGAAUUCAAGGACACGUCGCUGAGAACGAAAUCAGAGCAGCACUUUGGAAAGAAGGUUGGUUGAGAAAGCAGUUUGUCAAGCUGCCCCAUUGGAGCUUAAAUGGACUUAUCUAUUGAAAAAUACUCAGUAAAAAUUGAAAAGUGCUUCUCAUUACAUUCAUCUGAGCCCCCCAAGAUCACUGCAUGUAACUGUCUAGUGUAAAAUUAUGGGCACGGUCACGUAACCACCUCUGGCCGCAGACUCAACUUUC